GUCGCCUCCUAAAAGGUAACGGAGGCGCUCAAAGGUUCCCUCAGAAUGGUUGGAAAUCAUUCAUAGAGUGUAAAGGCAUAAGGGAGCUUGACUGCGAGACCUACAAGUCGAGCAGGGUCGAAAGACGGACUUAGUGAUCCGGUGGUUCCGCAUGGAAGGGCCAUCGCUCAACGGAUAAAAGCUACCCCGGGGAUAACAGGCUUAUCUCCCCCAAGAGUUCACAUCGACGGGGAGGUUUGGCACCUCGAUGUCGGCUCAUCGCAUCCUGGGGCUGUAGUCGGUCCCAAGGGUUGGGCUGUUCGCCCAUUAAAGCGGUACGCGAGCUGGGUUCAGAACGUCGUGAGACAGUUCGGUCCCUAUCCGUC
rnacentral:rRNA from 1 species